UACGGAGGGGGCUAGCGUUGUUCGGAAUUACUGGGCGUAAAGCGCACGUAGGCGGCUUUGUAAGUUAGAGGUGAAAGCCCAGGGCUCAACCCUGGAAUUGCCUUUAAGACUGCAUCGCUUGAACAUCGGAGAGGUAAGUGGAAUUCCGAGUGUAGAGGUGAAAUUCGUAGAUAUUCGGAAGAACACCAGUGGCGAAGGCGACUUUCUGGACGAUUGUUGACGCUGAGGUGCGAAAGCGUGGGGAGCAAACAGG
rnacentral:rRNA from 1 species